rnacentral:rRNA from 1 species
GGAAUCUUGGACAAUGGGGGAAACCCUGAUCCAGCCAUGCCGCGUGAGUGAUGAAGGCCUUCGGGUUGUAAAACUCUUUCGACGGGGACGAUAAUGACGGUACCCGUAGAAGAAGCUCCGGCUAACUUCGUGCCAGCAGCCGCGGUAAUACGAAGGGGGCUAGCGUUGUUCGGAAUUACUGGGCGUAAAGCGCGCGCAGGCGGUCUUCCAAGUCAGUGGUGAAAGCCUGGAGCUCAACUCCAGAACUGCCAUUGAAACUGUUAGACUUGAGUACGAGAGAGGUGAGUGGAAUUCCCAGUGUAGAGGUGAAAUUCGUAGAUAUUGGGAAGAACACCGGUGGCGAAGGCGGCUCACUGGCUCGUAACUGACGCUCAGGCGCGACAGCGUGGGGAUCAAA